UACGUAGGGUGCAAGCGUUAAUCGGAAUUACUGGGCGUAAAGCGUGCGCAGGCGGUUGUGCAAGACCGAUGUGAAAUCCCCGGGCUUAACCUGGGAAUGGCAUUGGUGACUGCACGGCUAGAGUGUGUCAGAGGGGGGUAGAAUUCCACGUGUAGCAGUGAAAUGCGUAGAGAUGUGGAGGAAUACCGAUGGCGAAGGCAGCCCCCCUGGGAUAACACUGACGGCUCA
rnacentral:rRNA from 1 species